UACAGAGGUCUCAAGCGUUGUUCGGAUUCAUUGGGCGUAAAGGGUGCGUAGGCGGCGCGGUAAGUCGGGUGUGAAAUCUCGGAGCUUAACUCCGAAACUGCAUUCGAUACUGCCGUGCUUGAGGACUGGAGAGGAGACUGGAAUUUACGGUGUAGCGGUGAAAUGCGCAGAUAUCGGGAGGAACACCGGUGGCGAAGGCGGUUCUACUGGGCCUUACCUGACGCUGAGGAGCGAAAGCGUGGGGAGCG
rnacentral:rRNA from 1 species